GCUGGGCAUGGUGGGCACGCCUGUAAUCCCAGCUACUCGGGAGGCUGAGGCAGGAGAAUUGCUCGAACCCAGGAGGUGUAGGUUGCAGUGAGUUGAGGUCGUGCCACUGCACUCCAGCCUGGGUGACAGGACAAGACUCUGUCUCAA
rnacentral:SRP_RNA from 1 species